rnacentral:rRNA from 1 species
AACGAACGCUGGCGGCAUGCCUAACACAUGCAAGUCGAACGAGACCUUCGGGUCUAGUGGCGCACGGGUGCGUAACGCGUGGGAACCUGCCCUUAGGUUCGGAAUAACUCCCCGAAAGGGGUGCUAAUACCGGAUAAUGUCUUCGGACCAAAGAUUUAUCGCCUUUGGAUGGGCCCGCGUUGGAUUAGCUAGUUGGUAGGGUAAAAGCCUACCAAGGCGACGAUCCAUAGCUGGUCUGAGAGGAUGAUCAGCCACACUGGGACUGAGACACGGCCCAGACUCCUACGGGAGGGAGCAGUGGGGAAUAUUGGACAAUGGGCGAAAGCCUGAGCAAGCAAUGCCGGGUGAGUGAUGAAGGCCUUAGGGUUGUAAAGCUCUUUUACCCGGGAUGAUAAUGACAGUACCGGGAGAAUAAGCUCCGGCUAACUCCGUG